AGAGAGCAAUUAAUGGCAGAUUCUGCAAAUUGAAUGACUUCCAUCUUUGGCACAGAGAAUACUACAUUGAAGGGUUGGAUGCCAAAGCUACUCUGGCAACAACUUCACACCAGGGGUUGGGCUCUUAUCCAUGACCAAGCAGCUCAUUGUUGGACAGUGCAAUUCUCCCAGUUCUAAAAUUACUAUUUGAGAAGUAGGAGAAGAUAUUCCAUACUUGGUAUUCCUGUUUUCUAUAAAGUGGAGUCUGAAGCACUUUCAAACAAUAUCAACACAUCUUGCAGGCCAAAGAAUACUUUCAGAUUCUUUUGUUUUGUUUUGUGUUGCUUUGUUUUGUUUUGUUUUGUUAAGAAGUGUCAAAAAGUUAGCGUCCAUAUUCUACAAACCUUUCUGCUUUCCUACCUGGCUGUUUUGAACUGAUGAUUGAAAUAAAUAAUCUAGGAAGCGCACAGUCUUAUUGUAUGUCAAGUAGUG